CCGGAGACCAGCAGCAGCAGCAGCAUCCCGGAGCGCAUCGCUGGAGUCGGUGAGGAUCUCUUCAGUAAUGUGAUGGUUACUGAGGCGAUGGUGCGCGCUCACUGCGGUCCUUCAAAGUUAGGAGCGCUGAUUUCUUCCAAAAGGGGGUCUGUCAGUGCUUGACAAUGCAGACCAGGAGGGUAAAAUUCCCCAUUGUGCAGCUCUUUUGCUGUCUCUUUCCCGUUCUCAGUUAGUGGCAGCGCUUGUUAUAGGAGUAGAGUGACUGCCAGAUUGUGUCGCGCCAACUUUCCAGCUCAUGGGAUCCAGUGAACGAGUUUUUAUCUCCACCAAACAGACACAUCCGACUGCCUCCUGAGGGCUUUUAU